GGACUCUUUGUGCUUCUUUCUGGAUUUGUCUGUUCAUCAGCAAACAGUUCCCUUACUGAUGAACACAGGUUCCCAGUCACGAUAUAAUUAAUCCUACGUUUAUAAUAAGAAGAUUACAUAAGCAACAAGAAUCGGUAAUAAAGGGAAAUAAUUUAUAGAAAAAUAAAUAAAUAAAACAAGGUGAUGACAGUUAUAAAUUCAUUGAUAAAUUAUUUAUAUUAUCUGGGAGUCUUACCUUGGAACCGGUCUUGUUAUUGUUAAACACGUUUGCAGGCUGAAUAGAAGCAAAGUAUCAAGCCAAAGAUUUCCUUGGCAUUAUCAAUGAUCCUGCUUAUAAGAUGAUAGCAUAAGCAACGAGGUUAAAGAAUUGGUAAUUAUCAGAGAGCAGAUUAAAUUAAGACAAGUGUUCUCCUUGUAGAGCAACAAAUGUUAAAGAGU
rnacentral:lncRNA from 1 species